GCUUAGUACGGCGAGUGACAGGCAAGAGCUCAGAUUUGAAAGCCUUUCGGGGCAUUGUAUUCUGAAGCCUUGAUUCUGAGAACCGGUACCUAAGUCUUCUGGAAAGGAGCGCCAAGGAGGGUGAUAGCCCCGUACGGUACUGACCUCAUUGUAGAAUCUUGGCGUGGAGUCGAGUUGUUUGGGAAUGCAGCUCAAAUGGGUGGUAUGCUCCAUCUAAAGCUAAAUAUCUGCGAGAGACCGAUAGCGAACAAGUACUGUGAAGGAAAGAUGAAAAGAACUUUGAAAAGAGAGUGAAAAAGUACGUGAAAUUGUUGAAAUGGAAGGAUAGGCCGCUAACCACGUAGAGCCGUGUCUGAGGGGAGGAUAAAAGCUGUAGAAUGUGGCUCUUCGGAGUGUUAUAGCUGCAGUGCAUACUCCCACUCGGGCGCGAGGACCUAAGGCUCUGCUAAAUGGUGGUCUAUCACCCGUCUUGAAAAA
rnacentral:rRNA from 1 species